rnacentral:tRNA from 1 species
GGGCCGUUAGCUCAGUUUGGGAGAGCGCCACAAUGGCAUUGUGGAGGUCACCGGUUCGAGCCCGGUACGGUCCACCA